rnacentral:rRNA from 1 species
GACGAACGCUGGCGGCGUGCUUAACACAUGCAAGUCGAACGGUGAAGCGCCUUCCUUUUUGGAGGGUGUGGACGAGUGGCGAACGGGUGAGUAACACGUGAGUAACCUGCCUCCUUCUUCUGGAUAACCGCAUGAAAGUGUGGCUAAUACGGGAUAUUCUGGGUCUGUCGCAUGAUGGGUCUGGUAGGGAUAUUGUUUCGGUGCGGGCUGGGCUCGCGGCCUAUCAGCUUGUUGGUGGGGUGGUGGCCUCCCAAGGCGGUGACGUGUAGCCGGGCUGAGAGGUAGCAGGGUCAAGAGGGUGGUGGGACACAGCGGAGCCGCGAACGGGAGGCGGCUGUGGCGAAAAGUGGACGAGGGGCGCAAUGCUGAUGGAGCGACGGCGCGAGGGGGAGGGGGGCCGUGGGGGUGGGAGCCUCUUGCGUUAGAGAAGCAGGCCGGCCGGGAUUGUGCGUGGGUUGACGGUAGCUGGAUAAGAAGCGCCGGCUAACUACGUG